rnacentral:lncRNA from 1 species
GUAGAUCAAGUGUCGAAACGAUUCAUAUGUUAAUAAAUUCUAAUUUUGUGUGCCUAAAUAAUCCACGUAGCAUGUAACGCACAUAAACCUAAAUUGUGCCUACCUAUAUUAUUCAUAGAGCACAUAAAUCUCCACCCUAAAGCAAUCCCCAAUAUUUAUUAUUACAUCAAUAGUAACAUAUGUACAAUAAUAUUACAAACCAAAUAACAAGAACAUAAAACUAAAUAGAACUAAUACAAUUUAUUGUAAACACCCCAGCAACUCUUGCGAUCUCCAAAACACCACCAAUACCUGUUAGAUACAAAUCGAAAGAGCACGACAAGCGCAAAACAAACAACUCAUGAUCCUAAACCACACAUCGUUUCAAAUAGAGGAAUCCAAGAAGAUACGUGCAUAUUAAGCAAGUAUUGUUUCAAAUUAGUUCCUAUAGAUAUGUUUUCUAUAGAAGUAAAAAAAUUGCAUUGAAUGGAAACAUACUGGUGAUGAUAAAUAAUAUAAUAAGAACUAAGAAGAAGACCAAAUAGCUCAAAAUCCAGAAAGCAAAUUACCACCGAGAGGUCAGAAUUAAAGCUCCAAAAGUAAGUAUAGAAGCGAUAAAAUAAGACUGUUUCUUUUCUGUUUCUUUUCCAAAAGUUUUGUAGAAGAGAGUAUAUGUAGUCUGUUGUAACUUCUCAAAAUAAGAGAAUAGGGGUUGUUUAUAUAGUGGAGGGAUAAAUCCACCAAGCCAUAAAAAGGAAAAGAGAAUAUGUUAUGUAAUCAAUCAAUCACAAUUAUAUCAUUCAAAUAAUUUAAAAUCAGUCUAAACUAAUAAAAGGAAAAGAGGUAUCAAUCAACAGAAUAUGUGAUGUAAUCAAUCAACCAAAUUGCCUUAAAUAUGAAGAUCACACAUACUAAUAUAAUCACUCAAAACAAAUAGAAGGAAAGAAAAAUAUCAAUUAAUCUAAAUUUUCUUUUUGAACAUGCAGACUAAUUAAGGAUAAUAAUUAAGGCAAAUCAUUAUGUCACUUAAGGCUAAAAUCGUGUAAAAUUCGAUAAAAGAAAUUAAAAAAGAAAAAGCAUAUUUAGGAUAAUCAAUCAGUCAAAUUUCCUUCUAUAAGCAUGAAAAUCAAUCAAAUUCUUGCCCUGAAGUAUUAAAUUCAAAUCAAUAAUAGUGAAGGAAAGAAAACACUGCCAAGAAAUCAGUACCAAAGCUUGUCACACACUAAACAAAAAGGGAAGAAAUUUCCCCAAUGCAGAAACUAACAAGAUCAGCUAAAUACCAAGUAAACCAAUUAGAACGGGAACAAAUAUAUGAGUAAAUCGACUUCGAUCUUUACCAAUAUGAUUAAACGAUUAUGAGCAAAUAAUCAACCGAACUCGUCAUGUCACAAUGCCAGUUAACACCAAUCACAUAAUAAAUUUCUUCAAAUAAAUAUUUUCAAGUAGAGAUCAUAUUCACAGAAUAACAAACCAUGAACACGAUAUUCGACCUAAUACAUACUAGUAUCAUUACAAUAGAUUCAACAAAAUUCAAUCUAGCAAUCAAGAACACAACAAUUAAAUCAUUCAGUGCCUGAUUCAGAAAAUAGCGUCAGCUAAGCAUGAAAUCGAAAUAUUUGAAACAAAGAAAAUCAGAUCGAAGCCACCCCACGUAUUUCACAUCCACAAACAAAAUAAAGUAAAUCCAAGAACAAUCUUACCGGAGACAAAUUCAUCAUGCAAAAAAUGUUGGAAUUGAAUCCUUGACACUCUCGCGGGUUCGGUCAGAGCAAGCGAAGGCGCUAGUGAGGUUGCCGAUGGUGGCUACGAUGGAGAGGACGAACAGAGGGAGAUGGCAGCGGUUCAAGUGGCGACUGGCUUUACUAUUAUGCCGGCAGAGCCGGCUGGUCUGCUGGUGGUUGAUUCGCCGUAGCUGGCGGAGGCUGGUUCCGUUGGAGUUUUGGUGGUGAGCGUUGCGGCGAUUGGUGGCGGCGCUGGUCGCUGGUUUGGCUGAGGAUAAUGGGUCGUCGGUCGGUGGUGGUUUCUAGAACGAUGCUUCACCGGUCAUUACCUCCGGUGAAUCGACAACGACGGGAGGCAACGCCGAUUUCACGGCUGGACUGAUCAUUUUGGUGGAGCGGCGGCAUCGAUGAAGAGAAGAAAGUGGGGCGGCGGUGGCUGGUUUAUCGGAGGCGGGAGAGGGAGUCCGGCGAAUAGAGGGAUGGUUCGUCGUGAUGGACGCCGACGAAGGUGGUGGCGGCGGCGGUUUGAGUGUUUCUUUUUUUUAGAGAGAAAAUGGAGAGAGAUGAGAGGUAGAGAGAGAGGGAGUUAGGCGGCUUAGAAGAUGAAGAGAGAUGAGAGGUAGAGAGAGAAGGAGUUAGGCGGCUUAUUUUUUGUGAAAAUGAAUUAGGGUUCGGUGUUUUGAACUAAAAAGGACAGAGGAGAAGGG